UGAGGAAUAUUGGUCAAUGGCGAGAGCCUGAACCAGCCAAGUAGCGUGAAGGAUGACUGCCCUAUGGGUUGUAAACUUCUUUUAUAAAGGAAUAAAGUCGGGUAUGGAUACCCGUUUGCAUGUACUUUAUGAAUAAGGAUCGGCUAACUCCGUGCC
rnacentral:rRNA from 1 species